ACGAACGCUGGCGGCGUGCCUAAUCCAUGCCAGUAGAACGCUGAAGGAGGAGCUUGCUUCUCUGGAUGAGUUGCGAACGGGUGAGUAACGCGUAGGUAACCUGCCUGGUAGCGGGGGAGAACUAUUGGAAACGAUAGCUAAUACCGCAUAAUAGUAGAUGUCGCCUGACAUUUGCUUAAAAGGUGCAAUUGCUUCACUACCAGAUGGACCUACCUUGUCUUAGCUAGUUGGUGAGGUAACGGCCCACCAAGCAAAGGAAACAUAGCCGACCCGGGCGGGUGAUCGGCCACACUGGGACGGAGACACGGCCCAGACCCCUACUGGAGGCAGCAGGAGGGAAUCUUCGGAAAUGGAGGGAAGGCUGACCGGGCAACGCCGCGGGAGUGAAGAAGGUUUUCGGAUCGUAAAGCUCGGUUUUAAGAGAAGAACGAGUUUGAGAGUGGAAAGUUCACGCUGUGACGGUAUCUUACCAGAAAGCGACGGCUAACUACGUG
rnacentral:rRNA from 1 species